AUUUAAAAGGCAUACUGAUUUUUAUAUUGUUUUCAUAAUGCAUUAAUUAUUCUUGAUGGGCAUCAUUUUAAUAUUAAUAGCUACUUAACAGUAAUCACUUUAAAUAUAAUUUAUUUCCUCACAGGUGUUUUUACAAUAGCUCUUAAAAAGUGUAUUAAUACUUUUUUUAAAUUGAAACAAAAAGUCAACAUUUUUUUUUCCGACAGAAUGUAACUGUGAUAAUGUUGGGCAUUGGACUGUCCCUCAUAAUCCUUAUUAGUUCUUAGCUAUUAGCAUUGCUCAUUAAACUCCAAUAUAUUUGUCCUGUGAGCAACUACUUCAUUAGUAUCUGCUUGAUUUUACAAGUAAAUUUGAUGUUGAUGCAGUGAAGAAGAGCUAGAGCUGGAGCUCAUUUCCUAAAGCACUUGCAUUCUGCACUUUACCUCUGCACAGUCUUUUCCUUACCCCAUAUGGAGAAAGCUGGCUGUGCAACUCCUCUCCUGUCUUCACUUAAAACAGCCAGGGAUUGCCAGGAGAAAGCCUGCUGGUUGCAAACAGUGAGUCCAUGUGAAGGUUCAGCAUUCUUCAGUGACAUCGGGAUUAUGUCAUAGGAAAAAGGUAAUUUUUUUGAACUUGUUUUACCAGUUUCCACAUCUUUCUGUUAAGAAAUCUUUUUCACAGUUUAGAGCACAAUUUUCUCCAUAAAUUAUUUAAAAACUUUUUUUAUCAUUUAAGCUGAAUUUCUCACAGAUGGUGAUAAAAUAACCCUUUAAAAAUCUCUCUUCUAAAAGGGAAUACAAGAACACUGUACCAGUGGAAUGGUUUCUAUUUUAUUCAGCUUUCAUCUCCUUCUGCUACUCAACUCUCAAUCUGGCCUUUGCAUGGAGAACAGAGGAUGGAAAAUAUAGUACCAGGAAAAUAAAGGGUAUUGAUCAAAUUUUAUAUCUGAUCAAGUCAUAAAUUAUAGAUCAAACAUUUAAGUUUUUACAAAAAUGAGAAGCAGAUUUCAGUAAGACUUGAACAAUAUAUUUGUUUAACAUUACUUACAGUGAUUAAAAUCUAGCAGUGUAUCAUAAGGGUUGAGAAUAAGUAUCUGACAGACUUGUUUAACUCCUGGCUUUGUUACUAAUUUUGUGACUUUGGGCAAAUACCUCUCUUAGAAUUUUCAACUGUAAAGGGGAAAAUAAUAGUACCUAUUUUAUCAGGUUGUUUCAGAAUUAAAUGUGGUGAUAUAUACAGAAACAAACUGUAAACUACUGAAAGCUACUGUAUUUAAAAAAAAGGACCUAGAAAAGAAUCCUGUUCUCUAGACCAGUUAUAAUUACC
rnacentral:lncRNA from 1 species